GGAUUGUGGUAUAUAUACCUGCGUCAAGCGAUCUGCGCAUACACUUUCACCCGAUCUGAUUAAGUAUUCCGGUACAUGGUGACCUUCGUUUUUUUUUGACCAGCAUUCAAAUAGCGGCAAGUUCGGUAAAAUCGGGUAUUUCAUAAAUUAGUGCCAGUAUGAAAUAUUUAAUAAUUGCCACACUCUGUUCCAUAGUACUCUAUACAGCUAAUGCAUUGGACUGUCUUCAGUGUGUUGGUGUUGGUUACAACUCCUGUGGAGGUAUUAAGGGCAAGCAUGAAAAUAUGAGAGCUAUUCCUUGUGAUGCAGAUGCCAAGUAUUGCUAUACUACCAGAGAAGACUACAAAGAUGGUGUUG